UAUAUACUCCCUCCGUUCCGAAUUACUUGUCUUAGAUUUGUCUAGAUACGGAGGUAUCUAGCACUAAAAUGAGUCUAGAUACAUCCGUAUCUAGACAAAUCCAAGACAAGUAAUUCGGAACGGAGGGAGUAUGUG
rnacentral:pre_miRNA from 1 species